rnacentral:rRNA from 1 species
AUACGUAGGGGGCGAGCGUUGUCCGGAAUGAUUGGGCGUAAAGGGCGCGUAGGCGGCCCGGUAAGUCUGGAGUGAAAGUCCUGUUUUUAAGAUGGGAAUUGCUUUGGAUACUGCAGUGCUAGAGUGCGGAAGAGGUAAGUGGAAUUCCCAGUGUAGCGGUGAAAUGCGUAGAGAUUGGGAGGAACACCAGUGGCGAAGGCGACUUACUGGGCCGUAACUGACGCUGAGGCGCGAAAGCGUGGGGAGCGAACAGGAUUAGAUACCCUGGUAGUCCACGCGGUAAACGAUGAAUGCUAGGUGUUGCGGGUAUCGACCCCUGCAGUGCCGGAGUAAACACAAUAAGCAUUCCGCCUGGGGAGUACGGCCGCAAGGUUGAAACUCAAAUGAAUUGACGGGG